AGAAGCCAGUUCUUCCCAACAAAGGAACUUAGGAUUUACAAGUCAGUAAAACAUGUGCAACAUUUCCAGAAAUGUACCAGAGUUGUUCGUGAUCAUAACCCCAAAUCAUUGGUACCUCGAUGUUUAGAGGGGAAACAGCAUUGGCUGGGCAAGCUGGGGCAGGGAACGUGAUGAACAGUGGGCUGGAAUAAGUUAACUGGAGGAGGGGAGGCGUCUCAGGAAGGGAGAAUAGCAUGAACAGCAGCAUAGACGUGAGAAUAACCAUCUGGAGUGAUGAACCUAUGCUGAGUAGAAAGUUCCAGAAGGCUGCAUAAGGGAGGUGUGUGAACAGCAGAAGCAGGACAAACCUGAGAUGAAUGUGAGGUUCUGCCCUGUUGUAACAAUGCUGUCUUCUCACAAACUACUCAUGUGCCCUAUAAGAAGAUAACCCACAAUCCCUGAUUCUGCUUUAUUCAAUGACUAGCUACUGCACAGACCGUGUAAAUGGACAGGACAGCCAGAGAGGGAGAAGAUGGCUAAACUGAAGCAACUUGGAGCUAGAAGAUA
rnacentral:lncRNA from 1 species